ACCAUGCAAAAAGCCGGAAAACUAAAUAUAAACGCUGAAGAUAAUUUAGCAUACGCUGCCUGAUUACAGGCGGCAGUCCGCGCCGGUGUUCCCGUACACGGGUACUGCGGGCUUCGACUUUACGGGGAACUGGGCAGCUUAAGCUUUGCGGCGGUCCAAGAUUUAUGAAGCUACCUAAAGAGCCCCUCCUGCUUACCGGUGCGGGCUUGCGGGAAUCAAAAUAGAUAAGCUAUGAUGGUAGAAAGUUCGGGGGAGGGGUUUUCGGACACGGGUUCGACUCCCGUCUACUCCA
rnacentral:tmRNA from 1 species